rnacentral:lncRNA from 1 species
AUCAAGAUAUGGGCUUCAGAGCACGUUUUUAGCACCCGUGGGAAACUGUUACAACAGCUGCAAUGCAGAAAUAUCCAAGCCCUGUGAACCCGAGCGUGGUGUGGGUUGACGUGUUAAACAGACGUAUAGAUCCCUCCAGAGAGUUGCACAGACUUCUCCGCACAGUGGGAACUGCAAAACUCUUACUGGUGCAGCAAAACGCAAAACAUAUAUACUAGAAUAUUCUGUAGUUAAUCCUGUAGAGAAAACAAUGGAACUUAAAUCUACUAAUAUUUCACUUACAAAUAUGAUUUCAGUAGAUGAGAGAUUUAUACACAAACCACAUCAUCGGGACCCCCCAAAAAACUAUUUUGACUCAAGAAGCCAUAAUCACUGAAGAGAGGUAGCCUCAGCAGUUACCUUGAAGGACUGAUGGCAAGAACUAUACCUUCAAAUGCUAAUAAAGGCCGAGAAGCACUGAAAUGGGUCA